GAUGAACGCUGGCGGCGUGCCUAAUACAUGCAAGUCGAGCGAACAGACGAGGAGCUUGCUCCUCUGACGUUAGCGGCGGACGGGUGAGUAACACGUGGAUAACCUACCUAUAAGACUGGGAUAACUUCGGGAAACCGGAGCUAAUACCGGAUAAUAUAUUGAACCGCAUGGUUCAAUAGUGAAAGACGGUUUUGCUGUCACUUAUAGAUGGAUCCGCGCCGCAUUAGCUAGUUGGUAAGGUAACGGCUUACCAAGGCAACGAUGCGUAGCCGACCUGAGAGGGUGAUCGGCCACACUAGAACUGAGCCACGGUCCCGACUCCUACACGAGGCAGCAGUAGGCAAUCUCCCGCGAUGGGCGAAAGCCUGACGGAGCAACGCCGCGUGGGUGAUGAAGGUCUUCGGAUCGUAAAACUCUGUUACUAGGGACGAACAAAUGUGUAAGUAACUAUGCACGUCUUGACGGUACCUAAGCAGAAAGCCACGGCUAACUACGUG
rnacentral:rRNA from 1 species